rfam:Myotis davidii contig203492, whole genome shotgun sequence.
GGCGGUUCUCGGGUGACGCACCCCAGAAUCAGGCUCCCUCCUCUCUGGUUCCGGGUGCAUCACCCAAGAACCGCA